GGGAUCCAAAACUUCAAGGUCUGAAGCUGAAACUGAACAAUUGUGUUGGAUUUGUUUGUCCUACUUAUUAUCUAUCAAGUAUUUAAGUUUAUACUUAUGCCACAUGUACCUAGGUGCAUAUUAUCUACUGCAAAGAUGUCAUUCAAUGGUUCUUAAGUUAGAUUGUGGUAAUAGACAAGCAGUGAUGCUAUAAACAUCAAAUCAAACGACCAUUUCAGCUUCUUGAACACUAGAAGGUAUCCCAACCUCCAGUCUCAUAGUAGCCCUAUACUGUUCAGGCACUCCAGCACCAGCCUGCGCACAUAUCUCCACAACAGCAGGUGCUUGCCCGUAGAAGCUUCUCAGCUCCCUCUGCAUCGGCGGCCCAUUCACAUCAGGAACAUGCCAAACGUAUCUCGGCGGUAUCAAGUCAUCAAGCACCGCAGACUGCCAACCGUGCUGACCAUUCCUCUGCUGGUGCUUGAACGCGCCGCAGUUCUGCGCCUUGUGCCCCGUCGGACCAACGUGGACCUCGGGGCAGUACCCGCAGACUCUGACCCUGUACAUCCUCAUCAGCUUCUUGGCUCCCGCUCUCAUCUCUUCCCACGCUUGUAGAGUCUCUUCCGCUAGGGAGACUGUUUCUUCUUCGUUGGAAGGUGGAGUGAUCUCUGAGGGAGGUAGCUCGGUUAACAACGGCUCUGGAGGAAAGUGAGGCUCUGGAUCAGGCAGUUCGGUUUCAUCUGCGUCUACGAACUCGCUUUUGCCGAUGCGGAUUAUCGGUUUUCUUCUCCUUUUCGUUGGAAACUCAGGGAUCUCAACGCCUCCUUGGAUGCAGAGCUCGACUACGGCGGGGACUCGAGGGAUGGUGAAUCUCUCAUCGUGACGGAUGCGCUUGCCGAGACGGUCGUAGAGGUGGUAAGCUUCAAGAGGGACAAUGACGUCUUCGAGGACAGAGUUUGUCCAUUCAUGAUGACCUUUCCUUUGAGAAGCACUAGGACCUUUACACGACUUAAACGGAUGACCGUAAGGUCCAACGUGGAUCUCAUUACACCACCUAAGAGACAAAACAAGAACAACACAUAACCAAACAUAACAAGAAGAGGAAGAAGAAGAAGAAGAAGAGGAGUUAUUAAUUUAUUAUUACCCACAAGCGUUAACACGAACUACUUUCAUGAGGCGGUGGAGAUUGUUGAUCAGUCUGAUUCUCGCGUUGUACACUUUGUAAGCAAGAGGGACGAGAAGAGACAUGAGCCUGAUAAGAAUAGUUAUAGGAACAGAACAGAAGUGAACUUGCUAAAAGAAGAAGAAGGAGAAGACAGUUACUUACUUAAAAAGCUAAUCCAUGGCUUUAGACUGAUUUCAAACGUGACGAUGAUGAUGAGGGAUAACGCUUUGCAGUUUGAGGAAAAAAGUAAGAAGAAGAAGAAGAAGACACGAAAGUGGGUGUGAAUGUGAAAGCGAGCAGACCAGACAAGUGGUAUCUUGCCUUUACCAAAGAUAAAUAAAACUAAAGCAAUGAAGAAGAAAGGGAAUCUGGUAAAUGACGUUUUUACCCUUGAUUAUUUCAAAAAGUAGAUUUGUUCUUUUUAAAAAGUCUCAAAAGUGAUGUUUCAAACACAAGAUGAGACACCGUCACUAGUCAACUGGUUGGAACUUAAAAUAAUGUGAUUUUCAAUUAAAUAAUUAUACUAUGAAAAAAGGACAAACAUGUUCAAGGGAUCCAAAACUUCAAGGUCUGAAGCUGAAACUGAACAAUUGUGUUGGAUUUGUUUGUCCUACUUAUUAUCUAUCAAGUAUUUAAGUUUAUACUUAUGCCACAUGUACCUAGGUGCAUAUUAUCUACUGCAAAGAUGUCAUUCAAUGGUUCUUAAGUUAGAUUGUGGUAAUAGACAAGCAGUGAUGCUAUAAACAUCAAAUCAAACGACCAUUUCAGCUUCUUGAACACUAGAAGGUAUCCCAACCUCCAGUCUCAUAGUAGCCCUAUACUGUUCAGGCACUCCAGCACCAGCCUGCGCACAUAUCUCCACAACAGCAGGUGCUUGCCCGUAGAAGCUUCUCAGCUCCCUCUGCAUCGGCGGCCCAUUCACAUCAGGAACAUGCCAAACGUAUCUCGGCGGUAUCAAGUCAUCAAGCACCGCAGACUGCCAACCGUGCUGACCAUUCCUCUGCUGGUGCUUGAACGCGCCGCAGUUCUGCGCCUUGUGCCCCGUCGGACCAACGUGGACCUCGGGGCAGUACCCGCAGACUCUGACCCUGUACAUCCUCAUCAGCUUCUUGGCUCCCGCUCUCAUCUCUUCCCACGCUUGUAGAGUCUCUUCCGCUAGGGAGACUGUUUCUUCUUCGUUGGAAGGUGGAGUGAUCUCUGAGGGAGGUAGCUCGGUUAACAACGGCUCUGGAGGAAAGUGAGGCUCUGGAUCAGGCAGUUCGGUUUCAUCUGCGUCUACGAACUCGCUUUUGCCGAUGCGGAUUAUCGGUUUUCUUCUCCUUUUCGUUGGAAACUCAGGGAUCUCAACGCCUCCUUGGAUGCAGAGCUCGACUACGGCGGGGACUCGAGGGAUGGUGAAUCUCUCAUCGUGACGGAUGCGCUUGCCGAGACGGUCGUAGAGGUGGUAAGCUUCAAGAGGGACAAUGACGUCUUCGAGGACAGAGUUUGUCCAUUCAUGAUGACCUUUCCUUUGAGAAGCACUAGGACCUUUACACGACUUAAACGGAUGACCGUAAGGUCCAACGUGGAUCUCAUUACACCACCUAAGAGACAAAACAAGAACAACACAUAACCAAACAUAACAAGAAGAGGAAGAAGAAGAAGAAGAAGAGGAGUUAUUAAUUUAUUAUUACCCACAAGCGUUAACACGAACUACUUUCAUGAGGCGGUGGAGAUUGUUGAUCAGUCUGAUUCUCGCGUUGUACACUUUGUAAGCAAGAGGGACGAGGCUCUUGACGACCAUGCCGUUUUUAGGAGGAGGGAGAGGUCUCUUAGGUUUGUCUUUGUUGUUCUUGACUCUCUCCCUAGCUGCUCGUCUCAGGUCCACAAUGGGAACCGGGAAGGGCUUCUUCUCUCUCUUUGAGUACUGCUUAGGUGCGUCUGCGUUCUGAGGAUGAUCACUUCUCACAAGAAAGGGACGAGCUUUACUCCUUUUACUAAGCACAAGUCUAGAAUCUAACUGAACUCUGCUACUUCCCUGCAUCAAUACACAACAGUACUUACUUAAGUACUUGAAACUGGACUCUACACAUUACAAUUUGUACAUGAAGAAACAAAAGUAUGGUCUUGUUCAAACAACCAAACACUAUAACGAAAAAAGAGAAGGAGAGAGAGAAGUGAAUUGGAUUGAUACUGACUACAGUCUACAGAAGGAAGCUGACCUGAAGAGAAGCUGAGAAUCCGAAACAAGAAGACGAGGAGGAGUUGGGAUUGAGAAACUGAUUCAUGGGUAUGCAAAAAGGUACGAUCUUUGGCGAAAAAGCCGAAAGGGAACCAGCAUCUGACCCUGGGAACAACAUACACAAACCAAAUUCAAUUACAGUCUUUGACAGUAAAACGAUGAAAUUGAGCAUGGAGGACAGUUCGAGAAGCAAAUUGAAGAAGAAAGCUUACAGGAGAGGGUGGAGUACGUAAUCGACAUCGUCGACGACUUGAUGGAUUAAAGCAUCGGGAAGAUGGAGGAUAAGAUGAGAGUGGUCUCACUCUCUGGAGACGAAGAAGAUGGCUACUGAGAAUCGUGGACAACAGACAUAAGCCUAGACUAAUGGGCUCUUAAUGGGCUGCAUUGUAGUCUCUUUAAGCCCACGUAGAUUAACAUCUGUUUUACAUGUGUGUGUAAUGGAACCGGGAUUAAAAAAAACCUUUCAAGUAUGCAACCUUUCCUCAUCUUCUUUUUUCUUUCUAAUUUUGUUUGAGUUAACCGGAUUACAUAGCUGUAGAUUUUGAAUACAAUUUUGCUGAUAUGAGCCAAAAAUAAGAAACAGGAAAAUACCGAACCAAAUUUGGCAAAUGAAGGUCUCUGGCUUAUUGGAACCAGACAUUGAGACAUAUCCCUUCCAUCAACCAGCACGUGACCGGUGACCAUUAAAACAACAAAAACGAAGCUAAGCUGUGUGUUAAUUGUGACCAAAACCAACACUUUCACAUCACUAUUGCUUUUACGUUUUUACCGCUCCUCCAUCAGCUGAUGAGUCAUUGAUGCAUUAAACACACGAGAAUCAUCCAUGUCAAUUUGUAAACGCCAAAAAGUUAAAUACAGGAGAAUCAUCCAUAUUUAUAAAGUUUUUUUUUUGGGGUGAUAUUUAAAGCAAAGUGGUUUGCAUGUGACGAGGGGAUUGGGUAUUUAAUAUGGAUUUCAAGUAAAUAAACUUGGAGGACCAAAAAAAAACCUAAAACCCAGAAGUCUAGCACCAACGUCCAGAAAUCAAGGCAGAGUUUCUACACAAUCUGUACAUAUUUUAAUAUUAACUGAAAAGGUGAUAUGUUUGGUUUCUCUCCUUACAUUUCUUGUAUACUAUGAGACCUUGACAAAAAAAAAAUUGAGAUUUAUAUUUCAAUCUCCAUUCUCAUCUGUCUUUUUUCAGUGGACCUAGUUUGAAUGACUUUUAUAUAUGUUACAGACGACAAAGGAACAAAAGAAACAAAGGAGAUAAAAGAGGUUUCUUCAAGACUUCACCAACUAAAAAAAAAGGUGCUACUGUUGAUAAUUUUUUUAAAAAAGCAAGUUGCUUUUCACUUGACCCAACCCAACACCACAAUUUAGUGCAGAAGUCAUUUCCAAACACUGCACAAGUCUCUCUGCUUCCAUCUUCAUCACUAUCACUGCUGUCUCAACCCAUUUAAAAAAGCAGUUUUGCUUUUAUUUUAUUUCCUUUUCUCUUUUUUUUCUUCCUCACAGUCAGAGCAACAACAGCAACAUGAUGUGUCCUUCUUUUCUGCUUCUUUGUCUUUCUCUGACUUCUUCUUCUCAUCUUGCUAUUAGAAUACUACACGAAACCCAUUGUAGCCUCCCUCCUCUCUCUCUCUCUAUCUCUUACCAUUCCUUCUUUCAAGAGCUCCCCCUUCUGUAAGUACUACUACUACUACAUCUUGUGUGUUCAUCUGAUGAAGCGAGCUCAUGGAGACUUCACUCCUUCCAACUCUAAUCCUUUUGAGGAUCCAAAAAUCAGAUUUAGGCACCAUAGCCUUUUCCAAGACUAUCAAGAACUUCAUAUGGUAUGCCCAACUCUUUUCUUUUCUUUUCUUGAGUUUAUAAAAAAACAAGAUUUAGUUUCUUCAUCUGCUCUACUUGUUUCUGCAAGACUGGAUCUAAGGGAAUCACUCAGGAUGUUUCUUCUUGUUCUCACCCUGAUCUGUUCUCACAACUCAAAAGACUUGAAAAAAAAAAGGAUCAACAUGUUGAUUUAAAAGAAAAAGAUUGAAACUUUGAGCUUAGUUGUUGGGUUGUUGGUUGUUUCUUUUACUUUUUUUUUUGAUUGUGUAGUCAGUCUUAAAACUGAUCAAAUACUGUUUUCUUGAGUCUUAAAAGUUAUCAAAAAGAGUGUUUAUCUCUUUUAAGAUCACUUUGGUUCUCUGUAUUUUUUAUUUUUAACGUGUAUUGCUGUUUUGUUGGAUUACACAAAGGAUACUGAAGCAAUGAGAAAAAGGUUGGAGACUAUGCAAGAGAGAAAGGCAACGCUAAUGGCCGAAGUCAGGUACGUGUAUAGUUACAAUCCUUGACACUAUAUCAUGAAGUCCUUGAUGUUUUGUGUUUCAAGUGUUUAUGUCUGUUUUAUCAGGUUUCUGCGGCGGAGGUACAGACAUUUGAGACAAGAACAGCCUGUUAAAAAGGUUAGGGGAAGAUCAAAUGGUGGGAAGAAGAGUAAGACGCAGUUAGUCCGAGUGCAAGUGUCUCCUGAUAAGACAAGUGAAGCAGAAACGAAGCAUGUUUCACUUCCUGACUUAAACCACUCAGGAGAGGCUCAUCAUGACGAAACCAAACCCAAAAAAGUUCCAUUGUUCGAUCUAAACCAGAUAUCUGUAAGCACUCUUAGAAUUGCUUACAAAAGAAACCAAACAUGUCUUUACUACUCAUUGCAAACCAUCUCUUAAAUUGGUUAUAGGGAGAAGAAGAGGAAGAGAUGAACAAUAGCGAAGAGAGAAUGAGAGUGGAACAAAGGAGAAUGAGCAGCAUAGAGAUGCUGUCUUGCAGGAACGGAGGAGACGGUUCACAUAAGAGGAAAAGCUCAUGGCAAGAUCCUGUUGCAGCUCUUAGAGUUUAAAAGACAUCAAUGUCAUGUACCAUCUUGUAACAUAGCUCACACAUCAAUUUAGAUUGCUUAUCUUCUCUGUUGAAAACAUAUCCUUGUCCAUUCUUGAUGUGGCGACUUAUACAAGUGACAUUUGUAUACUAGACAUGUGUCGUUCUUACACGAGUAAACAAAAUCUACGGAAGUGAUCCAAAACUUCAGGAACAAGAUCAACGGUCAGGAUGUGUUCACACGUGUAUAAACAGAGAACGUUUCGUGUAAACUUUAAAUUCAUUACCGGACGCCAAAGACAUGAUGAUCUUCUUCUUGUCUGAAACGUAACACGAAAAAGAAAAAAAAAACGCAAGAACCUUUAUGGACGAAGACGUGUUGGCUCCAGAGAUACUCACCAGCAUCAUCUCAAGGCUUUACGAUUCAACAACGAUGGACGGACCCAUGUUCGUGCCAAGGUCAGGAGAUGUGGUGGCUCAGAUGGAGAGGUAUGGACAUUGAAGACUAUAUGACGAGAGAUUUGAUAUACAAGCCAUGAGGAUCUGAGUUUCACACACUUAUGUUAUGUAAUAAAACAGUUAGGUUGUUACUUGUGUUAUUAUAGUAUAUAACAACUUAACCGGUUCUGUUAUGUGUUAAAAGUGUUCUGUGCAGAAGGAAACUGAUCUAAGCAUCUCUUUUGGUUUCACAAACUUGGAAAAGACCAAAGCAUAGAGCCACAGCAUUCAUGUUGUACACACACAUGUAGAACUCAAACUUAUAUGAGAACACAGAGAGUUCUUGUUGACAUUAACUACUAUCGACCACUACAAUUCUUGUAGAGAAAGUAAACAAGAAAACCACUUUUGCCAGUAAAAAAUUAAAAAAGAAGAGAGAGCAGGAAAGAGGAGACAAGGCAAGCAGUCAUAUGGAAGGAGCCUGAAAAAAGCGUUGCAGAAGCUGAUGUGGUGGUGCGAGCCCUUCUGUAUCCUCCUCCUCCUCUUUUCCUUAUGAAAACUCCAAGCUUCCUCGUUUGACCAGCUUGGUCGUCGUCAUGACCUGAACACAGAAGAAAGGACUGAGACAAGAACAGGAGCAAGAUGAUUGAUAGGAUGAGUAAGCGUUUGACGUCAGCCAUCUCUGCUCUAAAGAUAAGAGAAGGUUUUGGCCAUCUGCCGUGAUUAUAAAGAAAAAGGCAAUAGUUGAAGAAGAUACGUUUUGUCAGCUGUAUAUAAUUUAAUAGCAUUUGGUGUGAUGAUUGAGACAUGGAAUGAUAAGAUAAAUGUCAUAGUGUCAUGUGGAGCCUAACGCGGUCAUAAUUCAAAGAUUUUGACUCGCUGGAAAGCUAAGUGUCCAAUAUCACAAAGCAAUCAUCAAUCAAAGGUCAAAGCCGACCACGAUAUAUAUAAUUACCGAUUCAACUAUACGUUAAUCCCAAAGUGAAGUAACUUGCUUUCCAGACACUAUUCUUUGCUGAACUAUGGGUAAAAUGGGUUUUAUUGGGUCGAGAUGCUACUAACCUGAAAGGUAAUCAUUCUGGGUAGGCUAAGAUUUUGUCCAAAAUGGAUGGCUCCACCUCCGGGAAAGAUGUGACUUGACCAACUCGUUUAGCUAGUUCCCCUGUGACUCGGUCCAUGUAAAGAAGAUACAAUCCGUUUCUUUCGUCCAAAGCUGCUACUGCUUUCCUCGCAUGGAUUACUGAUGCUAUCCACUCCUCAAACACAACUACAGGUUAGACACAACCAAAUAUCAGCAUCAUUUAUCAGAGCCAGGUUUCGAUCCUGGGACCUGUGGGUUAUGGGCCCACCACGCUUCCGCUGCGCCACUCUGAUUUGAUGUUUAAUUAUCAUAAAAACUACAUAUAGUUUAGUUUACCAGUUUCAAAUGCUUCACUCUCAGCCCAAGGUAGCAGAUAGUCACAUAUCAGGAACUCAAUAAGCUGUAUCCUACAGAUUCAUAAGACAAACGUAAUCAAUCUCAGCAGUCCAUGUAUCAUAAAAACACAUUCUCAUUAGAAUUUUAAAUACUUACAAUAUAAACAUGCACUCAUCCAUAUCUGGGAAUGAUUCAUCAAAUGGGUCCAUGACCAGUAAGUUUUCGGCUAGAAUGGAUAGUCUCUGAGAGACAGAAAAUAUUGCACGCUGUCCAAUGUAUGGAUCACUUCCCAGUUUACGAAUCAGAUGUUGACCAUAAAACCCGACACUUGUUUCUAGUUGCUUAACCUCUGCUCCAGAUUGUAAACGCACAAAAGCUAAUAUUAGAAAUGAUAACCAGAAAGAGAAACACAGUUAGAAUCAUAACUAAGCUGCUGGAGUUACCAUUUCCUUUAAAGGGAGUGCACAUUCCUUUGAUCAACUGUGUAACCAUGAAACUAAUAGAUUCUUCAACAGCUUCCAAGUUUCUCCCCAUCGAUAUAAGCUUCUUCAGUGAAGCUUGAGCAUGGCAAAAGGAGCAUAUUAGUAAGAAGAGGAACAAUAGCACACAUUUGUUUCAUAAGUGCAAAGCCGCCUCCCAAUAAAAGGAAUGACAGCUCAGGAUAUAGAUAAUAAUAUUACCUAAUAUGAAAUCUACAGCCUCAUGUGACCAAUUGCUGAAACUAGAGGACUGCAGAUAUAUAAGAAGAGAUUCCAAUGUUAGAAAGCAUGUAAAGAGUGCACAUUAAGAAAAGAAAAAUCUUAAGAAACAAAGCCUAACAUUGGAGUCUGGUUCAGCAAGUUCCAGUAGAAAAUCAAUAGAAAUCUUUAGAUGCUCUGCUUCCUCUUCAUAUCCCGGUUCUGCAGUCAAAAGUUUCAACACAAUAUAAAAAAAAGAAUCCUAGAAGAUGAACAGGUGGUGCUUGCUUACAUAACAUUCUAUUGUUCACUUCCUUAUCCCACAUAGCAAUAUUAUGGUAUGGUGUUGUAUGAUGCAUAAACCAAACUGAAAGUGAGAGAAUAAAAUAUGAACCAAGCCCAAGAAGACCCUUAAACAAAAACCUGAGAGCCGCAAUCUUUGAGAUAAUCGAGUUGAUUUCCUUCUCCCCCUUGUCCUUGCUAUGAAUCAAAUCACAACACAAGCUGAUAAGUCAAUUCCAGAAACACAAAGGAUACAAAUAUGUGCAUAGGAAAGAGACCUAAUCUGAUAAAUCUACGACGGAGAACAUCACUGAAACUCGGUUGAGAGACCUCUCCAAACCGCCUGCCGCUGAAUUCUCCCAAGUUAUCAAAGAAAUAACACUUGCAAGAAGCACUCGCUGGGAAUAAAUCACAAUGUGAACCACCUAAGAUGCAAUUUGACAGAAAAAAAAAUUAUUCAGCUCCAGAAACUGAACUUGCAGCCUUUCUAUUUUUGGGAAUCAUUAAAUACAUAUAAAUAAACGAGUUGCUAAAGUUCAGAGAGACAGAAACUCUAAACCAUAAGUUCUCGGUAGUGAGUAAGUACUAAGAUUAAAAAAAUGCGAAGUAACGUUAGAGAGUUAUGACUUUAUGGGUCAUACAUUAUGGUCAACCACAUAUGACCACUCUCCAAAUGAUUUCAUUUGUUUAUUUUCAAAUUUGAUCAAAAAGCUCCUUCCGACUAGUUGCAUGAUUUUAUGUAUCGUAUGUUUUGUGGACCAUAACCUAAACGCUCUCAAGAUUGUCAUACCAAAACCAAUUUCAGUUUCAGUAACAUCUAUACGGUGCAGAAGAUCAACAAAGAAAGACUAAAACUAAAGUUCAGAACAUGAAACAAAUUUCUCUUUCUCAUAUUCACCUUCUACUGGAAGAGGGAUCAGACUUGGAACGUACACGUAGUCAGAGCCAGCCCUGGCUACAAGCAGGUGAAGCGUGAGCUUGGAGUCCAUACGUCUAUAAAUUAUUAUGGAGCCAAUUUUCCCAAUUGUAGUUAGACCAAUUGGUUUAGUUCGUUGUUAUUUUGACAGUGUCCGUUGGUGGUAAUGCAUCUAUUUUAAUGAAAUUCACUGCGUUUUUUUUUACUGAAAUGAAGAUGAAAAUCACUAUUGUACAUAGAUUUAAGUCAUUUCCAUAGUUAACAAGUUUCAAAUAUUUGUUUCAGGUUCUAAAUUUUUCAGAUAACUAAGUUUGUAUUCUGUUGGAUAAGUUACAAAUACUCAGGCCAUUCAAUUAUUAUGGGCUCUCAGCUAACAGAAAGACACAAAUGGUCAAACAUUUCCAAUGUAAAUAUCUGAAGCAACCAGUCUAUAAGGGUCUCAGGUCUGAACAACAAUCAACUGAACAGUAUCUGAGACCGUAAAACAAAAAUGCAAAAGGUCAAAAAAGUAAUAAUAGGAGUCGCAGAAGAAUACAAAAAAAGGAAAUGAACACAUUCCCACAUCAACAACACAAAGAAGUGAGAAUAAUGUCGUAAUAAAAGAGCUUAAUAAAGAAGACCAAAACUCCCACAAGUUUUCUUGUUGGAAACUAUCUUUGAGUUCUGUCCUUCAAGCUUACAACACAACACUCAUCGCACAAGGCCUUGGUUCCUUUACAGAUUCCGACAAGCCUCGACGUCUGCAGCCUGUGAGGCCAACAGCGACUUCCCCUGCUCGCUAGAUUCCACAAUGCGCACAGCUGCAUCAAUCACCGCCUUCUGGAACCUAUCAUCCUCCAUCUUUCCAAGGACCUCUCUAACAAAUUUGAAAUCCACACCACCAGCAACAAUCAGCUUCCCUACAAUCUCACCAAAGUUGUUUGGUGCCUUGGGGAGAUCGAUUCCAACGUCGUCCAGCAUAGCACCGAACAUCAAGCACCCAGUUUCAAGAUCCUUGGGUGUGACCACCUUCUUGGAUAGCAGAUACACCAAGAGACUAGCGAUGGGCUCAACAACAGGUGGGCUUUUCUCAAGGGCUAGAGUAAUUGCUUCAUUCACAAACUCUGCGUGAUAAGAAGGCGACGCAAGGUCCACCAAACACUGCAUAGCUUCAUCAAGAAGUCGGACAUUGA
rnacentral:lncRNA from 1 species